GACGAACGCUGGCGGCGUGCCUAAUACAUGCAAGUAGAACGCACAGUUUAUACCGUAGCUUGCUACACCAUAGACUGUGAGUUGCGAACGGGUGAGUAACGCGUAGGUAACCUGCCUGGUAGCGGGGGAUAACUAUUGGAAACGAUAGCUAAUACCGCAUAAUAUUAAUUAUUGCAUGAUAAUUAAUUGAAAGGUGCAAUUGCACCACUACCAGAUGGACCUGCGUUGUAUUAGCUAGUAGGUGAGGUAACGGCUCACCUAGGCGACGAUACAUAGCCGACCUGGGAGGGUGAUCGGCCACACUGGGACUGAGACACGGCCCAGACUCCUACGGGAGGCAGCAGGAGGGAAACUUCGGCAAUGGACGAAAGUCUGACCGAGCAACGCCGCGGGAGGGAAGAAGGGUUUCGGAUCGUAAAGCUCUGUUGUAAGAGAAGAACGGGUGUGGGAGUGGAAAGUUCACACUGUGACGGUAUCUUACCAGAAAGGGACGGCUAACUACGUG
rnacentral:rRNA from 1 species